rnacentral:rRNA from 1 species
ACCAGCGGAGGGAUCAUUAGCGAGUUUUCAACUCCCAACCCUUGCGAACCGUACCCCGUUCUGUUCUCGUUGCUUCUGGCGGGAGGGGGGGGGCGCGUCCUUCGGGGCGCGCCUCUCUCUCCCAGGUCCCUUCGGGGCGCCCGCCAGCGGCCGCGAGCCGCCUGAACUUUUUUAAACCGUAACGAAACGUCUGAGAAACAAACAAAAACAGCCAAAACUUUCAACAACGGAUCUCUUGGCUCUGGCAUCGAUGAAGAACGCAGCGAAAUGCGAUACGUAAUGCGAAUUGCAGAAUUCAGCGAGUCAUCGAAUCUUUGAACGCACAUUGCGCCCGCCAGCAUUCUGGCGGGCAUGCCUGUCCGAGCGUCAUUUCCCCCCUCAGCACGCCCUUUGGGUGCGCUGGCGUUGGGGCUCCUCCGCCCUCUGUGGCGGCAGGGCCCUCAAAUCCAGUGGCGGGCCCGUCUGGUUGGCUCCGAGCGCAGUACCGAACGCAAGUUCUCUCUCUCGCUCUGCAAGCCCCGGCCGGCGCCCAGCCGUCAAGCCGCGCAGGCGACCCUCUCGAGGGCCGCCUCGCAUUUUUACAAGGUUGACCUCGGAUCAGGUAGGAUUACCCGCUGAACUUAAGCAUAUCAAUAAGCGGAGGAAAAGAAACCAACAGGGAUUGCCCCAGUAACGGCGAGUGAAGCGGCAACAGCUCAAAUUUGAAAUCUGGCCCUCGGGUCCGAGUUGUAAUUUGGAGAGGAUGCUUUUGGCGCGGCGCCGUCCGAGUUCCUUGGAACAGGACGCCAUAGAGGGUGAGAGCCCCGUACGGGCGGCCGCCUAGCCUUUGUAAAGCUCCUUCGACGAGUCGAGUAGUUUGGGAAUGCUGCUCAAAAUGGGAGGUAAAUUUCUUCUAAAGCUAAAUACCGGCCAGAGACCGAUAGCGCACAAGUAGAGUGAUCGAAAGAUGAAAAGCACUUUGAAAAGAGGGUUAAAAAGUACGUGAAAUUGUUGAAAGGGAAGCGCCUGUGACCAGACUUGCGGCCCGUGGAUCAUCCGGUGUUCUUCACCGGUGCACUCCGCGGGCUGCAGGCCAGCAUCGGUUUUCCUAGGGGGAUAAAGGUCGCGGGAACGUAGCUCCCUCGGGAGUGUUAUAGCCCGUGGCGUCAUGCCUCUGGGGGGACCGAGGACCGCGCUUCGGCAAGGAUGCUGG